UACGGGGGGGGCAAGCGUUGUUCGGAAUUACUGGGCGUAAAGGGCUCGUAGGUGGCCAACUAAGUCAGACGUGAAAUCCCUCAGCUUAACUGGGGAACUGCGUCUGAUACUGGAUGGCUUGAGUUUGGGAGAGGGAUGCGGAAUUCCAGGUGUAGCGGUGAAAUGCGCAGAUAUCAGGAGGAACACCGAUGGCGAAGGCAGGUCUCUGGGCCAUAACUGACGCUGAGAAGCGAAAGCAUGGGGAGCGAACAGG
rnacentral:rRNA from 1 species